rnacentral:rRNA from 1 species
UUCUAUUAGUAAUGAUUAAUAGUAAAAUCUGCUCAAUGAUAUUAAAUAGCCGCAAUUUGUGCUAAGGUAGUAUAAUAAUUUGUCUUUUAAUUGAAGACCAUAACAAAAGAUUUCACAUUUCAAAUUAUUUUUAAUAUUUAAUAAAAUUAAAAUUAUUUUAAUAAUAAAAACAUUCUUAUAUAUUAAAAAGACGACAAGACCCUAUUAAACUUAACUUUAGUUAAACUGGGGAAGUUAAUUAAUAAUAAUUUUAAUUCAAUUUUCAUAUAAACAAAUCUAAUAAAAUUAAUUUAAAACAAGUUACUAUAGGGAUAACAGCGUAAUAAUAUUCUUAAGCUCUUAUUAAAAAUUUAGAUUGCGACCUCGAUGUUGAUUUAAUUUCCUAUUUUAUAACGCAAAAGUUAAAUAAGUAAAUCUGUUCGAUUUGUAAAAAUU